GGGAAAGAGCGGAGCUACCUGCAGUCGAGCGGCAGCCGAAGAACUUUGUUACUUUGUCCCGAGAGCGGCACACGUGAGAAUUAUGUCUGGAACUCUGCCUGAUGGAGGGAUAUCUCUACUGAACACUGUCUCUAAUACCGCAUAGCCUCACGAGACCAAAGAGGGAGAUCUUCGGCUCUCGUGCUCUCAUAUGUGCCCAUAUGGUAUUAUCUAAUGUGGGGUGUAACGUCUCCUCUGCGACAAUAUCCCUAUGUGGUCAGAGAAUAACACCCCCCACUCUGGAUCUGACACACGGCCCACACUCCUACGGGAGGCCACUGUGGAAUAUAUUGCACUGUGCGCGCACCUCUGAUGCACCUGUGCCGCGUGUAUGAAAAGCGUCUUCGUUUUGAAAAACUUUUUCCGCGGAGAAGAGGGUGUUGAGUUUAAUCCCCUCCACUUUUGACUUCCCCCGCAAAAGACACCCCGUAUAUCUCCGUGCCAGCCCCCGCUAAUAUACAGAGGGUGCGAGUUUUACUCAAAUUUUCUGCGUAAAAAGCACACGCGCGCGCUCUGUACACUCAUAUGAGAUCCCCCCGGGCACCACCUGAAAUCUGUUUUCAAAUGUGGCGCGAUAGACUUGUGUAGAGGGGGGUAAAUUUCCGUGUGUCGCGGAAAUAUGCUUAGAUAUCUAGAAGAACACCGGGGGAAAACGGCGCCCCCCUGGAAAAACACUCACUCUCAUGUGCAAACGGGGGGGGCACAAAAAGAUUAAAUCCUCGGGGACCUCCCCCCAAAAAAUAUGUCCUUUGGGGGGUGCGCCCUUGGGCGGGGUCUCCGGAUCAAACGCUUAAAUUCCCCCCCCUGGGAAACCCCCCCCGGGGUUAAACCCAUAUAAUUUUGGGGGCCCCCCACAACUGGAGAACUGGUGUUUUUUUU
rnacentral:rRNA from 1 species